UACAGAGGGUGCAAGCGUUGUUCGGAAUUAUUGGGCGUAAAGGGCGCGUAGGCGGUGCGGUAAGUCUGUAGUGAAAUCUCUGGGCUCAACUCAGAGUCUGCUGCAGAAACUGCCGUGCUUGAGUGUGGGAGAGGUGAGUGGAAUUCCCCGGUGUAGCGGUGAAAUGCGUAGAUAUCGGGAGGAACACCUGUGGCGAAAGCGGCUCACUGGACCACAACUGACGCUGAGGCGCGAAAGCUAGGGGAGCAAACAGG
rnacentral:rRNA from 1 species